UACAGAGGUCCCAAGCGUUGUUCGGAUUCAUUGGGCGUAAAGGGUGCGUAGGUGGCGCCGUAAGUCGGGUGUGAAAUUUCGAGGCUUAACUUCGAAACUGCAUUCGAUACUGCCGUGCUUGAGGACUGGAGAGGAGACUGGAAUUUACGGUGUAGCGGUGAAAUGCGUAGAUAUCGUAAGGAAGACCAGUGGCGAAGGCGGGUCUCUGGACAGUUCCUGACGCUGAGGCACGAAGGCCAGGGGAGCAAACGGG
rnacentral:rRNA from 1 species